rnacentral:rRNA from 1 species
AACGAACGCUGGCGGCAUGCCUAACACAUGCAAGUCGAACGCCAUGGUUUCGGCCAUGGAGUGGCGCACGGGUGAGUAACGCGUGGGAACCUGCCCAGCAGUAUGGGACAACCGCGGGAAACUGCGGCUAAUACCGUAUACGCCCGUCUUUGGGAGACCCAGGGGCGGGGAAAGAUUGAUCGCUGUUGGAGGGGCCCGCGUCGGAUUAGGUAGUUGGUGGGGUAAAGGCCUACCAAGCCUGCGAUCCGUAGCUGGUCUGAGAGGAUGAUCAGCCACACUGGGACUGAGACACGGCCCAGACCCUACGGGAGGCAGCAGUGGGGAAUAUUGGACAAUGGGCGCAAGCCUGAUCCAGCAAUGCCGCGUGAGUGAUGAAGGCCUUAGGGUUGUAAAGCUCUUUCACACGCGACGAUGAUGACGGUAGCGUGAGAAGAAGCCCCGGCUAACUCCGUGCCAGCCGCCGCCGUAAAAC